UUAAAUUGAAGAGUUUGAUCAUGGCUCAGAUUGAACGCUGGCGGCAGGCCUAACACAUGCAAGUCGAACGGUAACAGGAAACAGCUUGCUGUUUCGCUGACGAGUGGCGGACGGGUGAGUAAUGUCUGGGAAACUGCCYGAUGGAGGGGGAUAACUACUGGAAACGGUAGCUAAUACCGCAUAACGUCGCAAGACCAAAGAGGGGGACCUUMGGGCCU
rnacentral:rRNA from 1 species